UCCAGAAGGAAGAAGUGGUCAACAGUAUCAAAUGCAGCAGAGAAUUUGAGAAAAGGAUUUGGUACUGGAGAGAUCACUGGUACAUUCACCUGUGGAAGGCUUCGGGGAGGCCAUGGCAACCACAAUCACCCAGGCUGAAAAGCCUUCAGUGGAUUACAGUUUAUGCUGAUGGAAGAGGGCAUAGCCCCUGGAGGAGGUCACAGAAUUAUGGAUAUACCUUAAGGAUAUUCAAAUAAAGGUGACAGACAAGAGAACGUCUCUGACAACAACUCUGACAGACUGUACUGAAGUUAAAUCAAUCCAGGGCACAAUCCAGGGAUCCAGGUGAAAGAGAGGUUCUCUGGACACUCAUCCCAUCAUGGCUGUGGUGAUAUCAAUGGCCUGAGGCAUCUACAAAGGAAAGUGAUAAUCACCCAAUGUAGAAUCUAAAGGACAACUACCCCGGAAAGUUUUUCUUUCAACUCUAAUUGGACUGGUGGCAUUGCUGGGAAAAGAUAAUCAAUACUAUUACCAAUUUCUUAAGAUCUCCUGCAUGCUCCAGUGACCGCCCUCCUACUGACUUCCAGCAAGUUGGGCAGGGGAGAGGGGGAGGGAUUGGAAAUUAGUGAAUCAGUAAUUCAAAAGAAAUCAGUCUGUCGUUAUAUGAUCUUAUUGUAAGCUCUAGCCCCAAACAAUAAAAACAAACUGAAAUCAUCUGGGUCGAAAGGGAAAAAGAUAAUGCAGUUUUAAAGUCUCCCAUUUUUAAGAUUCAAACCCAAGAGACUUUUAGCAUUUUCAGUUCACCAAUACAAUCACCUCCUUUCCCCAUUAAAAUCUCCCUCAAACAUACAACACCAUGAUGGGCUACUCAGAAAUGGAGAUGGUCAUAUGGGAAGAACUCUCUUUCCCUUGCAUUCUCCAGCCUCCAUAGUCCCCUAUUCAGAGUGAGGACAAGAAAAAGAGAAAGUCUACGAGUAGGUUAUUGGCUACUCUGGAUCCUUAUUUACUAGACAUUA